rnacentral:lncRNA from 10 species
GUGGAUUUACUUUUUUUUCCCCACCAGGAAGAAUACUCGAUUAGACUGCAUUUUGCCUUGCUUUUCCUUCUCCCUUUCUCUCUCUUUCUUUCUUUCUUUCUUUCUUUCUUUCUUUCUUUCUUUCUUUCUUUCUUUCUUUCUUUCUUUCUUUCUUUUUCUUUCUCUCUCUCUCUCUCUUUCUUUCUUUCCUUUCUUUUCUUUCUUUCCUCUUUCUCUUUCCUUCUUUCUUUUUUUCUUCUUUCUUUCCUUCCUUCCUUCCAUCUUUCUUUUCUUUCUUUCCAUUUUUUUUUUCCUCCAGAAGAAUGGAAACAGUAUUCUUUUCCGAUCAGUUCAGUAAUACAAUGUCCUUCAGUGUCCAUAUGAGCAUUUCAGUGGAGAAGAAAAGAAACUUUGCUACCUGGGAACUGAAGACUACUUAGUGAAGAUCCCGGUGUUACACAUCCAAUCGUUCACCUCCUUCCAAGACUAUGACAUUCCAGGAAACCUUCACUGCUAAGAGGAACUAAGAUCUAGAGUAUCUCCUCGAGGAAGUACAACUGGUAAUUAAUAAGAAGUCCAGUGGCUCACACCUGCGAUCCCAGCACUUUGGGAGGCUGAGAUGGGCAGAUUGCUCGAGCCCAGGAAUUCAAGACCAACCUGGGCAACAUGGCAAAACCCCAUCUCUACAAAAAUACAAAAAUUAACCAGAUGUGAUGGUUCAUGCCUGUAGUCCCAGCUACUCUGGAGGCUGAUGUGGGAGGAUCGCUUGAGCCUAGGAAGUCAAGGCUGCAGUGAGUCAUGAUUGCUCCGCUCCACUGCACUCUGGCCUUGAUGAUAGAGUGAGAACCAGUCUCAAAAAAAAAAAGGUCAUUUUCUAAGCAUUUGUUGAUUCAAUACUGCCCACUAUGUACACUGACAAUUAGACAUAAUUUAAUUUCAGCUCAUGGUAUGAAUGGAGACAAAAUGAAAUCAUUUUAAUGCACAUUAAGGCAAUAUAGUGCCCUUAAAUAAAAAGUUGAAG